CAGAAGAUGACCCUAACCGAUUCCUCUCAAACCCUGUGCCAGCCGUACCUUUUACGUUGCUUCCGGCGGCGGUGCAGCGCCCCGGCCCCGCCGGGCGGGAAGGACCAAACAAACCCUUUGCAACACAUAGUCGGAAUCUCUGAGUCAUACAUGAAUUAGUCAA
rnacentral:misc_RNA from 1 species